rnacentral:rRNA from 1 species
UACGUAGGGGGCAAGCGUUGUCCGGAUUUAUUGGGCGUAAAGAGCGUGUAGGCGGCCAGGUAGGUCCGUUGUGAAAACUCGAGGCUCAACCUCGAGACGUCGGCGGAAACCCUCUGGCUAGAGUCCGGAAGAGGAGAGUGGAAUUCCUGGUGUAGCGGUGAAAUGCGCAGAUAUCAGGAAGAACACCCGUGGCGAAGGCGGCUCUCUGGGACGGUACUGACGCUGAGACGCGGAAGCGUGGGGAGCAAACAGG